CGUUCUAACCACUAGGCUACCCUGCCGACUAUGAACAGGGCACCUGGUUUACGCCCCGGAGGCAGGAGGGGUUCCAAAACGAAUGCCAGAUUAAUCGAGUCCCCUCUAUGAAGGGAAGCGAAGUAGGAGGUUGGUCAAUUUUCACGUGGAGCUAGGCAAAAUUAGAUUUGUUUACAUAAUUGAAUCCUACAGAUGAAGAACCAUAUAUGUGACAUAAAAAAAUUGAUAUACAUGAAAAAUCAUUAUUGGACACCCUUUUUCUAUAGUGAACCGGUUUCACAAGCUUUCCACGCGCUAUUUAACAAUCAUUUUAAAUUUAAAGAUAGGCUCUCGUGGAAUAACCGUUUAUGUGCACCACUCAGAAUGGACGGACAAGCAAACAACUUUUCUGUUGCUGAUGAAAAUCGCCGAAAUGUGGGAAAGAAACGUAAAACAAAACUAAUAGAAUGGAAAGACAGGCGAAGGAAGAUCUUACGGGAUGCUGGAAAACCCUAUACAAAUCGUAAGGGUUAAGAAAAAACUGGGAAAAGCUGUCCAAAAUAGGGAUCCUGCAGGGAUUGCACACCGAGGGCCCUGCAUAUUGAAGUGGGUGAAGGCAAAAUUCACGCCACUCACCAAACCAGAGGUGCGCAAGUUGAUCAUAUUCAGUGACAGAUGCUGUGGGCAGAAUAACAACUGUCUGAUGCUCAAUCUGAUGUCGAUGCUCGUCUCUAUGGGUUACUUUACCCAAGUUGAGCAGAAGUUCAUGGUCUCUGGUCAUUCUUUUCUUCAUUGUGAUUGAUCUUUUGCCACCAUCGAGAAGAGGCACAAGUUGUCAGUCCUUCAUACACCUGAUGAUGUUUCAAAGAUGAUACUUGAAGCACAACCAGCAAAACCAUUCAAGGUGAUGAGGAUGCAAUGUGAAGACUUCAGGCACCUCCCAGAUCCUGUCCUCAAGCGACCAGCUGGACUACAGAUCACCUCAGUGAAGUGGUUAAAAAGUCACAGUUGAGGAUCCUUGGAAUCUGUACGCCAGACAGAGCCACAGUCUAUUUGAGGGAUGGAAAUCGUGGCUGAUCUCCAAACCACAACAAGGAGCUACACCUCAACCUCCCUAUUUUGCAAGCCACUACCCUAGAACAUAUGAGAGUCCUCUGCCCAUAAAAAAAAACAAGUACCAAGAUCUGAUGACCAUGCUCAACUACUUGCCAGCUGCUGCACGCUCUUUUUAUAAAUCACUGCAGAGUGAAUAAUUUGUUGUUAAACCAGUCUACAUAAUUAACUGCUUUUUGCUGUGAGUUUAUGAUCCCCUGAACCUGUAUAGUAUGUUGAAUCUGAAUACAUUUCAGAAGACAUGUCACCCCUAUUAGGAAAUUAAAUGUAUAGUAGGUGUUUUCUAUGUGAAUCAAUUUGUGUAUGAUUUGAACCAGCACAAUAUAAUGAAUUAAUUUAAUUUUAAGAUGUUCCUAGUGUAGAAAAUGUUAUGUACAAUGUGUUCUGUUGAGAAUUAUUUUGUGUGUGAUCAUUUGAACUUUUUUUUAUCUGAAUUAAUUAAAAACAAAUAAGUCAUCACA